rnacentral:tRNA from 1 species
AAAAAAUUAGUUAAAAUUCAUAACAUUAGUUUGUCAAACUAAAAUUAUUAAAUACUAAUAUUUUUUA